UGAGGGAAUAUUGGGUCAAUGGGGCGGGAGCCUGAACCAGCCAAGUCGCGUGAGGGAGGAAGGUCCUACGGAUUGUAAAGCUCUAUCAGCAGGGAAGAAAAUGACGGUACCUGACUAAGAAGCCCCGGCUAACUACGUGCCAGCAGCCGCGGUAAUACGUAGGGGGCAAGCGUUAUCCGGAUUUACUGGGUGUAAAGGGAGCGCAGGCGGUCCUGCAAGUCUGAUGUGAAAGCCCGGGGCUCAACCCCGGGACUGCAUUGGAAACUGUGGGACUUGAGUGUCGGAGGGGCAAGUGGAAUUCCUAGUGUAGCGGUGAAAUGCGUAGAUAUUAGGAGGAACACCAGUGGCGAAGGCGGCUUGCUGGACGACAACUGACGCUGAGGCUCGAAAGCGUGGGGAGCAAACAGGAUUAGAUACCCUGGUAGU
rnacentral:rRNA from 1 species